rnacentral:rRNA from 1 species
CCUACGGGUGGCAGCAGUGAGGAAUAUUGGUCAAUGGGCGCGAGCCUGAACCAGCCAAGUAGCGUGAAGGAUGACUGCCCUACGGGUUGUAAACUUCUUUUAUAAGGGAAUAAAGUGCGGCACGUGUGCUUUUUUGUAUGUACUUUAUGAAUAAGGAUCGGCUAACCCAGCGCCAGCAGCCGCGGUAAUACGGAGGAUCCGAGCGUUAUCCGGAUUUAUUGGGUUUAAAGGGAGCGUAGAUGGGUUGUUAAGUCAGUUGUGAAAGUUUGCGGCUCAACCGUAAAAUUGCAGUUGAUACUGGAAUCCUUGAGUACAGGAGAGGUAGGCGGAAUUCGUGGUGUAGCGGUGAAAUGCGUAGAUAUCACGAAGAACUCCGAUUGCGAAGGCAGCUUACUGGACUGCAACUGACACUGAUGCUCGAAAGUGUGGGUAUCAAACAGGAUUAGAUACCCCAGUAGUC